UACGUAGGUGGCAAGCGUUGUCCGGAAUUAUUGGGCGUAAAGAGCUCGUAGGCGGUUUGUCACGUCGGAUGUGAAAACCCGAGGCUUAACCUCGGGCCUGCAUUCGAUACGGGCUGACUAGAGUUCGGUAGGGGAGACUGGAAUUCCUGGUGUAGCGGUGAAAUGCGCAGAUAUCAGGAGGAACACCGGUGGCGAAGGCGGGUCUCUGGGCCGAUACUGACGCUGAGGAGCGAAAGCGUGGGGAGCGAACAGG
rnacentral:rRNA from 1 species